rnacentral:tRNA from 1 species
GUAGUUCAGUGGGCAAAGCACUCGUCUAGCAUACAAGCAUCGUGGGUUCGAUUCCCACC